rnacentral:rRNA from 1 species
GAUGAACGCUGGCGGCGUGCUUAACACAUGCAAGUCGAACGAAGAUGCCGGAGUGCUUGCACUUUGGCAGACUGAGUGGCGGACGGGUGAGUAACGCGUGGGUAACCUGCCUUAUACAGGGGGAUAACAGUUGGAAACGACUGCUAAUACCGCAUAAGCGCACGGUAUCGCAUGAUACAGUGUGAAAAACUCCGGUGGUAUAAGAUGGACCCGCGUCUGAUUAGCUUGUUGGUGAGGUAACGGCCCACCAAGGCGACGAUCAGUAGCCGGCCUGGGAGGGUGAACGGCCACAUUGGGACUGAGACACGGCCCAAAACUCCUACGGGAGGCAGCAGUGGGGAAUACUUGCACAAAUGGGGGAAACCCUGAUGCAGCGACG